rnacentral:tRNA from 1 species
GGGCCUGUAGCUCAGCCUGGAAAGAGCGGCAGCCUUCUAAGCUGACGGUCGAGGGUUCAAAUCCCUUCAGGCCCG